rnacentral:tRNA from 1 species
GGGCGUGUAGUUAAGUGGUAUAACGCCGUCCUGAUAAGACGGAGGCCCCAGGUUCGAUCCCUGGCACGCCCACUA